GAAACUCAAAUGAAUUGACGGGACCGCACAAGCGGUGGAUGAUGUGGUUAAUUCGAUGCAACGCGAAAACCUUACCACCUUUGACAUGUACGGAAUCCUUUAGAGAUAGAGGAGUGCUCGAAAGAGAGCCGUAACACAGGUGCUGCAUGGCUGUCGUCAGCUCGUGUCGUGAGAUGUUGGGUUAAGUCCCGCAACGAGCGCAACCCUUGUCAUUAGUUGCUACGAAAGGGCACUCUAAUGAGACUGCCGGUGACAAACCGGAGGAAGGUGGGGAUGACGUCAAGUCCUCAUGGCCCUUAUAGGUGGGGCUACACACGUCAUACAAUGGCUGGUACAAAGGGUUGCCAACCCGCGAGGGGGAGCCAAUCCCAUAAAGCCAGUCGUAGUCCGGAUCGCAGUCUGCAACUCGACUGCGUGAAGUCGGAAUCGCUAGUAAUCGUGGAUCAGCAUGUCACGGUGAAUACGUUCCCGGGUCUU
rnacentral:rRNA from 1 species